rnacentral:rRNA from 1 species
UCACCGCAAGCCCGAAGCAGCGACACCGAAGAGGGAGAAGACCUUCGAAGAAAAACAUAAUACGUCAGGGAACAAGGCACUGGUUUUAGUGGAGUGGAGGCUACCCGUAUAAAAAGCCCCGGCCAACUACGUGCCAGCCGCCGCGGUAAUACGUAGGGUUCAACCCUUGUCCGGAAAA